GACCUGAUAGUGGAGUUGGUACCACGUCUGCUUUAGUUGGUUUCUUGUUAUCACAUGUUUAGCAGGAAGCCUCCGUUCGAUUCGGGGUUAGGUCA